ensembl:lncRNA novel transcript, antisense to C7orf33 and CNTNAP2
AGGUGUAGAUUUCAGGGAAAGGAGCAGGUUUUAGAAAGAAGGAUGAUGAGUCCCAUUUUGUAGAAAAUGUUGAGGUGCUUAUGAGAUGUCUAUUAGAGAAUUUGCUGUAUGAGUCAGAGGCUCAGGCAAAUUGGCUGACUGAAGCCAAUUUGAUUUUAAUAUCCCUUUAUAACAGUGGUUGACUAAACCUAGCUCACUGCCUGUUUUUAUAAAGUUUUAUUUAUACACAGCCAUAUGCAUUCAUUUACAAUUAAUUUUGGGAACUGCUUUAGCAGAGAAAACAAUGGAGUCAGCUUGUGUUGCAGGAAAAGGGAAAGGAAAGCAAGAGAGAAUAAGGGCUCCACUCUAUGGAAACACCAACAUUUAUGAGGCUGGACUUGGCUGGAACAAGAAUAAGACUCCUGAUGCUCGAACGGGAACCAGGAGGAAGAGUGCUAUUUAGUGUCCCCAAGGCCAAGGUUGUAUCUGUUUGCUCGGGAUGCCAUAACAAAGGACCACAGACUGGGGGGUUUAAACAGCAGAAGUUUACUUUCUCACAGUACUGGAGGCUGGAAGUCUGAGGUCAAGGUGCUGGCGGUGUCGGUUUCUCCUGAGCCCUCUCUCUUUUGCCGCAACAGGCACCCAACAUCUGGGUGAAUAAACUCUCCACUAACAGACAGCCAUGGGUUCCUGGGCCCGCCUCUCUCCGAGUCCUCUCCUUUAUCAGAGCUGAAUGCAUCUGAUCACUCUGCACAGUGGUGUCAAAUUGGCUAUUCUCCCUCUUUUUAUUGGAGUCCUCUUUCAUUCAGUCCCAAUUGUGGGAAAUGAAGUUUUACAGCCAUGGAAGGGAAGAUGAAGGGAAGAAGCGGAGAAGACAGAUUUCUAUAGAUCACAAGGCAUUUUGGAUGCCAUAAAUAUGGUGGAUACCCUGUAGUUCUGCAGUGUCUUUCUUUAGGGAAUCUCAAGUGCCUACUCUCUAAUUUAGUCCGCUGUGUGGCUGUGGUCUUUAAGUUGGAGUCUGUGGAGACAAAGAGGGAGGUCUUGCUGUGCCUGACCCUCUGGGAUGUGUUACCACCCACGCCGACCUGCUCUCUGCGGCUUUCUGACAGCACCUCACAGCCCUGGAACUGGAAAUGUGGCUCUCACUGAAGCUGCCCAGAGAGAGGGUCUCUCAGUGAAGACCCCCUGUUGUCAGCUGGGGCAGCCGGAAAGAAAGACUGGGAAUUCUCUUCACACAGGAUUUGAUAUGCUUGGUGGCUCCAGAAAAAUGCAAGUGUGCACAUUCAUCCACUUGACAAAGGGUGACUUAACUGUCAGUGUCCUGUGGAUUCAAACUGAAAGGGUUUGGGCGAAAGAAAGAAGAAGGUGGGACUGCGAAUAAAUUGAAAACAGCAUUUUGGAGGCAACAGCUGUGAAACAGAAGGGAAGGAAAAUUUAUGACCAUAUACAUUUCAGUAGGAAUUUAUAACUUUUUAUGAACAUUAUCUUAAAGUUAGUCUCUAGACAUAGGUCUAAAAAUAAAAUUAUGCUGAACUGUGUACCCAGAGAAUGGUAAAUGGGAAUAACGUUCUUGAAAGGGAUGACGUAGGUCCAGGGAAAGGUCACAUUGAAUAAUCAAGGUCGGUGAAGGUCAAAAUCACAAAGAAGGACCCUGCAUUCACUCCUGUCCUGAUGGCAGCUUCAGUGGAAACCCUUGGCCAUCGCUUUGCCUCUCCAAGCAUUCGAGAAAGACCGUCUGGUGCCAUAUUGUCUUCUGGGGACAGCUGAUCACCUGGGGAGAGCUGCAUCGUGCUCCUACCCGUGUCAGAUCUGGGCAGAGGACAGACAAAAGUCCUCUGGAGUUUUCCGCAGUGAGAGUCACAGAAGUUCAUCUAAGGAAUUGGAGCCAAGGUUAGAAACUUCUCUGGAGAUGUUCUAGUUUUGUUUGCUAGCUCGGCAGCUGCGUAAUGACACUCCCUCCAGCAGGGCACAUAGUUCACUUCAAAUGACAAAUGGUGGGACCUUAGUAUUUUUCACUGUCGGUUAAUUAUCAGAAAUAGAUUUGUUGCUAUCUAGAUACCAGCCAUUUGUCCAAAUUACUAGGAUAAGAUUCCCAAGAAAGCCUGAAAUCAGAUAGCUUUCUCCUCCUUAUUUUAAAAUAAACAGAAAUAAAAUUA